rnacentral:rRNA from 1 species
CCUACGGGGAGCAGCAGUGAGGAAUAUUGGUCAAUGGACGGAAGUCUGAACCAGCCAUGCCGCGUGCAGGAAGACGGCUCUAUUAGUUGUAAACUGCUUUUGUACAAGGGUAAACCUGAAUACGUGUAUUCAGCUGAAAGUACUGUACGAAUAAGGAUCGGCUAACUCCGUGCCAGCAGCCGCGGUAAUACGGAGGAUACAAGCGUUAUCCGGAUUUAUUGGGUUUUAAGGGUGCGUAGGCGGAUUGUUAAGGUAGAGGUGAAAUGUCCGAGCUUAACUCGGGAACUGCCUCUAAUACUGUUGAUCGAGAGAGUAGAUGCGGUAGGCGGAAUGUAUGGUGUAGCGGUGAAAUGCUUAGAGAUCAUACAGAACACCGAUUGCGAAGGCAGCUUACCAAUCUAUAUCUGACGUUGAGGCACGAAAGCGUGGGGAGCAAACAGGAUUAGAUACCCGUGUAGUC